rnacentral:lncRNA from 1 species
UUGCUUUGAGCUUUGCUAGUCUACCAUGCAUGCAUCACACUUCUACUUUGAACUUUGAAUCGUGACUCUGUCGUGUUCCUCUUGGUAAUGCGUAGGCAUUAGUAUGUGUGUUAAAGUAGGCUGCGUAUUUGAGACUGCUUAUUCUCUGUGCCCCGUUUCUUUGAGAGCGGCUUCUUCAAUUGCAGUAGUGCACAGCAGCUUGAAUGGUUUGAUCUGGCGAUGGCGGCUGCAUUGUCCAGUUGAACAGAGAAAGGGCCACGCCCUCAAUGGAAGCACUUCUGAUGCCUGAAAAAAAUGCCGCAAUGGUGGUAAAGAUGUUUCAGCAUUGCUGUGCAAGAACACAUCAUCCAAUUGGCCGUAACAAUAAGGAAACGUGUUUUUGGUUUUUCAUUCGAGUGGUGCUUAACAGUAAUAGUAGGAUUAACGAAACAACAGCAAAUCAGGUUAAACGUCAAAACAUCCUGUGUCCCUCCUACUCACAUGCAACUUUGAAUGGGCAUAUCAUGAAUGAAAUAUGACCAAUCUAGCCCUCAAUACAAUGUAACCCUGGAGACAUGCUGCAAACAUGAUACAUAACAGCAUAAACUGAAUAACAAUAUCUCAUUCAGUAUACCAUAAUAACAUGGUUUAGCAGUGUGACAUUUGACAUGCCUUGCAUAGGGGCUUCAUGAUGAUGUGGUCUUUGAAGGCACAGCCACUUAUCUGCCCAGACCAGACAAGAGUGUGUGUUGUAAGACAAGGAAGAACUAAAAUUCCACAUACUUUUUCAUCGCAGACGCAUGCAGUGAUUACGAACUGAAGGUCUAUACCAUUUCUUUCAAAAACUAAGAACAAAUGCGCAAUAUUUUUUAUUAGCUGAGAUUGAGAUAUAUCUUAUCAAUGUACCAAAAAACAUCAAACAAUAAAUAAGACCAUCAAAUCUUUGGAGAUAAACUCUAAUCACCAAAAGAAUAAUAUCUGGGAAUAAAGAAGGGCAUGUAUAUGUAUUAAUUUCUCAAGUCUAACAUGUACAAAUAGACAAAACCUUAAACAAUACUAAGUUUG